AGAGUUUGAUCCUGGCUCAGGACGAACGCUGGCGGCGUGCUUAACACAUGCAAGUCGAACGAACCGCGGAGAGCUUGCUCUCCAAGGUUAGUGGCGGACGGGUGCGUAACACGUGAGCAAUCUGCCCUCGGGUGGGGGAUAGCCGGCCCAACGGCCGGGUAAUACCGCGUACAGCCUCAGACUCGCAUGGGUUCGAGGUGAAAGCGGCCGCAAGGUCGCGCCUGGGGAGGAGCUCGCGGCGUAUCAGCUUGUUGGUGGGGUAACGGCCUACCAAGGCUACGACGCGUAGCUGGUCUGAGAGGACGAUCAGCCACAUUGGGACUGAGAUACGGCCCAGACUCCUACGGGAGGCAGCAGUGGGGAAUAUUGCGCAAUGGCCGAAAGGCUGACGCAGCGACGCCGUGUGUGGGAUGAAGGCUUUCGGGUUGUAAACCACUGUCAGGGGGGACGAAUACUCGGCUUCGAAUAGUUGACCGAGGGUGACGGUACCUCCAGAGGAAGCACCGGCUAACUCCGUGCCAGCAGCCGCAGUAAGACGGGGGGUGCAAGCGUUGUCAGGAAUUACCGGGAGUAAAGCGAGCGUAGGCGGAUAUUUAAGUCAUCUGUGAAAACUCGGGGCUCAACCCCGAGACUGCAGGUGAGACUGCAUAGCUAGAGCUCGGUAGAGGCAAGUGGAAUUCCCGGUGUAGCGGUGGAAUGUGUAGAUCUCGGGAAUAACACCAGAGGCGAAGGCGGUCUGCUGGGCCGGUCCUGACGCUGAGGCGCGAAAGCGUGGGGAGCAAACAGGAUUAGAUACCCUGGUAGUCCACGCCGUAAACGAUGGGUACUAGGCGUCGGGGGGAGCGACCCCUUCGGUGCCGUCGCUAACGCAGUAAGUACCCCGCCUGGGGAGUACGGCCGCAAGGCUGAAACUCAAAGGAAUUGACGGGGGCCCGCACAAGCGGUGGAGCAUGUGGUUUAAUUCGAUGCAACGCGAAGAACCUUACCUGGGCUUGACAUGUACGUGAAAUCCCGUGGAAACACGGGACCCUCUUCGGAGCUCAUACACAGGUGCUGCAUGGCUGUCGUCAGCUCGUGUCGUGAGAUGUUGGGUUAAGUCCCGCAACGAGCGCAACCCUCGCUCCCAGUUACCAGCGGUUCGGCCGGGGACUCUGGGGGGACUGCCGGUGUCAAACCGGAGGAAGGUGGGGAUGACGUCAAGUCAGCAUGGCCCUUACGUCCAGGGCUACACACGUGCUACAAUGGCCGGUACCGCGCGCUGCCAACCCGCGAGGGUGAGCCAAUCGCUAAAAGCCGGUCUAAGUUCGGAUUGCAGUCUGUAACUCGACUGCAUGAAGUCGGAAUCGCUAGUAAUCGUGGAUCAGCCAUGCCGCGGUGAAUACGUUCCCGGGCCUUGUACCCACCGCCCGUCACGCCAUGGAAGCUGGGGGGACCCGAAGCCAGUGGGCUAACCGCAAGGAGGCAGCUGUCUAAGGUCAAAUCAGUGACUGGGGCGAAGUCGUAACAAGGUAACC
rnacentral:rRNA from 1 species